rfam:Nematostella vectensis strain CH2 x CH6 NEMVEscaffold_900_Cont33828, whole genome shotgun sequence.
GGUCCCAUGGUGUAACGGUUAGCACUCUGGACUCUCAAUCCAGCGAUCCCGGUUCAAUUCUCGAUGGGACCU